rnacentral:rRNA from 1 species
AGGAGUUUGAUCCUGGCUCAGGACGAACGCUGGCGGCGUGCUUAACACAUGCAAGUCGAACGGUGAAAGCGGAGCUUGCUCCGCUGGAUCAGUGGCGAACGGGUGAGUAACACGUGGGCAACCUGCCCCAGACUUCGGGAUAACUCUUCGAAAGAGGCGCUAAUACCGGAUAUGAACUCUGCAGGCAUCUGCGGAGUUGGAAAGUUUUUCGGUCUGGGAUGGGCCCGCGGCCUAUCAGCUAGUUGGUGAGGUAGUGGCUCACCAAGGCGACGACGGGUAGCCGGCCUGAGAGGGCGACCGGCCACACUGGGACUGAGACACGGCCCAGACUCCUACGGGAGGCAGCAGUGGGGAAUAUUGCGCAAUGGGCGAAAGCCUGACGCAGCAACGCCGCGUGCGGGAUGAAUGUCUUCGGGUU